rnacentral:rRNA from 1 species
GGUAAGGCCCCUUCGGGGGUACACGAGUGGCGAACGGGUGAGUAACACGUGAGCAACCUGCCCUUGACUCUGGGAUAACAGUUGGAAACAGCUGCUAAUACCGGAUAUGCAUCGUCUCCUUCCUGGGGGGUGGUGGAAAGCUCCGGCGGUCAGGGAUGGGCUCGCGGCCUAUCAGCUUGUUGGUGAGGUGAUGGCUCACCAAGGCUUCGACGGGUAGCCGGCCUGAGAGGGCGACCGGCCACACUGGGACUGAGAUACGGCCCAGACUCCUACGGGAGGCAGCAGUGGGGAAUAUUGCACAAUGGGCGCAAGCCUGAUGCAGCAACGCCGCGUGCGGGAUGACGGCCUUCGGGUUGUAAACCGCUUUCAGCAGGGACGAAGCGCAAGUGACGGUACCUGCAGAAGAAGGACCGGCUAACUACGUGCCAGCAGCCGCGGUGAUACGUAGGGUCCGAGCGUUGUCCGGAAUUAUUGGGCGUAAAGGGCUUGUAGGCGGUCCGUCGCGUCAGAAGUGAAAACUCAGGGCUUAACUCUGAGCCUGCUUUUGAUACGGGCGGACUAGAGGGAUGCAGGGGAGAACGGAAUUCCUGGUGGAGCGGUGGAAUGCGCAGAUAUCAGGAGGAACACCGGUGGCGAAGGCGGUUCUCUGGGCAUUUCCUGACGCUGAGAAGCGAAAGCGUGGGGAGCAAACAGGCUUAGAUACCCUGGUAGUCCACGCCGUAAACGGUGGGCACUAGGUGUGGGGGACAUUCCACGUUCUCCGUG